rnacentral:tRNA from 1 species
UCCCUGGUGGCUCAGAGAUUAAAGCGCUGCCUGAAAUGCGGGAGACCCAGGUUCGAUCCCUGGAUUGGGAA